rnacentral:rRNA from 1 species
CCUACGGGUGGCAGCAGUGGGGAAUAUUGGGCAAUGGGCGAAAGCCUGACGCAGCAACGCCGCGUGAAGGAAGAAGGCUUUCGGGUUGUAAACUUCUUUUGACAGGGAAGAGCAGAAGACGGUAUAUGUAGAAAAAGCCACGGCUAACUACGUGCCCGCAGCCGCGGUAAUACGUAGGUGGCAAGCGUUGCCCGGUUUUACUGGGUGGAAAGGGCGUGUAGGCGGGCUAGCAAGUCAGAUGUGAAAUUCGGGGGCUUAACCACCGAACUGCAUUUGAAACUGUUAGUCUUGAGUAUCGGAGAGGCAGGUGGAAUUCCUGGUGUAGCGGUAAAAUGCGUAGAGAUUAAGAGGAACACCAGUGGCGAAGGCGACCUGCUAGACGACAACUGACGGUGAGGCGCGAAAGCGUGGGGAGCAAACAGGAUUAGAUACCCGUGUAGUC